CUCGUGUCGUGAGAUGUUGGGUUAAGUCCCGCAACGAGCGCAACCCUUGAUCUUAGUUGCCAGCAUUUCGGAUGGGCACUCUAAGGUGACUGCCGGUGACAAACCGGAGGAAGGUGGGGAUGACGUCAAAUCAUCAUGCCCCUUAUGACCUGGGCUACACACGUACUACAAUGGCCGGUACAACGGGCUGUGAAGCCGCGAGGUGGAACGAAUCCUAAAAAGCCGGUCUCAGUUCGGAUUGCAGGCUGCAACUCGCCUGCAUGAAGUCGGAAUUGCUAGUAAUCGCGGAUCAGCAUGCCGCGGUGAAUACGUUCCCGGGUCUUGUACACACCGCCCGUCACACCACGAGAGUUUAUAACACCCGAAGUCGGUGGGGUAACCGCAAGGAGCCAGCCGCCGAAGGUGGGAUA
rnacentral:rRNA from 1 species